rnacentral:rRNA from 1 species
AUACGGAGGAUGCGAGCGUUAUCCGGAUUUAUAAGGUUUAAAGGGUGUGUAGGCGGUAUUUUAAGUCAGUGGUGAAAUCUCGGAGCUUAACUUCGAAACUGCCAUUGAUACUGGAAUACUUGAGUAUAGUUGAGGUAGGCGGAAUAUGUAAUGUAGCGGUGAAAUGCAUAGAUAUUACAUAGAACACCGAUUGCGAAGGCAGCUUACUAAACUAUUACUGACGCUGAUGCACGAAAGCGUGGGGAGCGAACAGGAUUAGAAACCCUAGUAGUCC